UGGUGAUAGAUUAGUUGUGAUGAUGGUGGUCGCGGUGGCAUAUGUGGUGGUGGUAGUGGUGGACAAGGUAGUAGUAAGAUGCCAUUAUGUUUAAAAAUGAAAGUAGGAUGCUAUUAUAAGUUAAAGUUGAAAGUAGAAUGCAAUUAUGGGUUAAAAUAAACGUAGGAUGCUAUUAUAGGUUAAAGUUGAAAGAAAGAUUCCAUUAUGGGCUAAAAAUGAAAGUAUCAUGCUAUUAUAGGUUAUAAAUGAAUGUUGGAUGCUAUUACAAGCUAUAAAUGAAAGUAGGAUAAUACUAUGGGUUAAAUUUGAAAGUAAGAUGUAUGUAUGGGUGUACAUAUAGGUAGAGGUGGGUUUAGGUAGGGGUUGGUGGAUAUAAGGAUUUAAGAUAAGGUAAGAUGCAUGUUUGGGUUUGUAGGUGGGGAUAUGUGGUUAUUAUGGUUGGGUAGGGUGGGUGUAUGGGGUAGGGAUGACACUUAUUAUUUAUGGUUUAGGGCUCAUAUUUUAUGACAUAGGGUUUAAGGAUUAUGACUUAGGGCUUAUGGUUUAUGAGUUAUUUUUGAAGUCUUAAGGCUUAUAGCUUAAGGGUCAUGACGUAAGUCGUAUGGGUUAGGGUUCAAGGCGUAAGGCAUAAGGCCUAUGGAUUGGGGAUUAUGGCUUAGGGUUUAGGGAUUAGGUUUAGGUUUUACAAACAUACAUGUGGUUUUAGAAUAUGAAUUUGAACAUUUUUGGAAAAAGGUUUUAGAGGGAAACACAAGAUGACAACGUGGCAAGGGAGGAUAGACUAGGGGCGGAAACUAAUUAAUUUGGUGAAAAUUAUGGACUAUGACUUAGGGCUUAGAGCUUAGGGCUCAUUCCUUCACUUGUAUCUUGAGGUUGACGACUUAUGUCUUAGUGCUUAAAGUUGUGGGGAUGUGGCUUAUAAAUAAUGGCUUAAGUCUUAAGUCUUAUGGUCCAGGCCUUAUGGCGUAAGGCAUAUGGCUUAGGUCUUACAACCUAUGUAUUAUGGCUUAUUGAUUAUUUUUAUGGCUUAUGGUUGAUGGUUUAAGGCUUAUGGUUUAGGGUUUAGGGUUUUAUGGAUUAAUGCCUAUAGCCUAUGAGUUAUUACUUAUUACUUAUGGUGUAUAACAUAUGACUUAGGGCUCACGUCUUAGUGUAAGAUGUUAAAGCUUAAAGCUAAUAACGUAUGACCUAUAGCUUAGGUAUUAAGUCUUAUGGCUUAUAACUUAUGGAUUGUGUUGUAGGGAUUAACAAUUAAUGUAUAUGGAUUAAGGUUUAAGGUGUAUGGAUUACAGAUUAUGACAUAUAACUUUUGGAUUAUGAUAUACGGCUUAUGCUUAGGAAUUAGGGCUUGGACAAAGUGAUAGGGCUUAAGGCUUGGAAUUAUAGCUUGUGAUUUAUGGCUUAGGGAAAAUAGAAUCUGAAGAAAAAAAAAGUUCCACUUAUUAGAUUUAAUUUAAUUUUUAUUAACUUUAUUAUUUUAUUUUAUAAUUUGGAUUUUAUUAAAUAGUUUAAAUUAUAAGAUUGUAUCAUAAAUCAAAAGCCCUAUGUCGAAGUCCUAAAUUGUAAACCCUAAUAUAUAACACAUAAGUCACAAGCAUUGAUUUAAAAUCCGGUUCAAACCAGCCGGUGAACCGAUUGAACCGGAAACCGAAGACGAGAGCGGUUCAACAACAACCAUUUUAUUUUAAGUUCUAGAGCAAAUUGAACUGGAAGGUUUCUUCAAAACCAGGUUGAACUGUUGUGAUAUAACCGUAAUCCCAUAAGUGGUAUGGUGGUGGUGUUGACAGGGAAGGUGGUGGUAAUGGUGGUGAUAGUGGUGGUGGUGGCAACACUGGGAUAAGAGGUCACGGUUGUGGUAAUGCAAAUGAUGGUGAUGGUGGUGAUAUAUUAGUUGUGAUGAUGGUGGUGGCGGUGGCAUAGGUGGUGGUGGUAGUGGUGGACAAGGUAGUAGUAAGAUGUCAUUAUGUUUAAAAACGAAGGUAGGAUGCUAUUAUAGGUUAAAGCUUAAAGUAGAAUGCUAUUAUGGGUUAAAAUAAACGUAGGACACUAUUAUGGGUUAAAGUUGAAAGUAAGAUUCCAUUAUGGGCUAAAAACGAAAGUAUCAUGCUAUUAUAGGUUAUAAAUGAAAGUUGGAUACUAUUAUAAGUUAUAAAUGAAAGUAGGACAAUAUUAUGGGUUAAAGUUGAAAGUAAG
rnacentral:lncRNA from 1 species